UACGUAGGGUGCGAGCGUUAAUCGGAAUUACUGGGCGUAAAGCGUGCGUAGACGGUUAUGUAAGUCGGAUGUGAAAGCCCCGGGCUUAACCUGGGAAUGGCAUUCGAGACUGCAUAGCUAGGAUGCGGAAGAGGGAAGUGGAAUUUCCGGUGUAGCGGUGAAAUGCGUAGAUAUCGGAAGGAACACCAGUGGCGAAAGCGACUUCCUGGUCCAGCAUCGACGUUCAGGCACGAAAGCGUGGGGAGCAAACAGG
rnacentral:rRNA from 1 species